GACGAACGCUGGCGGCGUGCUUAACACAUGCGAGUCGAACGGAAAGGCCCUGCUUUUGUGGGGUGCUCGAGUGGCGAACGGGUGGGUAACACGUGAGUAACCUGCCCUUGACUUUGGGAUAACUUCAGGAAACUGGGGCUAAUACCGGAUAGGAGCUCCUGCUGCAUGGUGGGGGUUGGAAAGUUUCGGCGGUUGGGGAUGGACUCGCGGCUUAUCAGCUUGUUGGUGGGGUAGUGGCUUACCAAGGCUUUGACGGGUAGCCGGCCUGAGAGGGUGACCGGCCACAUUGGGACUGAGAUACGGCCCAGACUCCUACGGGAGGCAGAAGUGGGGAAUAUUGCACAAUGGGCGGAAGCCUGAUGCAGCAACGCCGCGUGCGGGAUGACGGCCUUCGGGUUGUAAACCGCUUUCGCCUGUGACGAAGCGUGAGUGACGGUAAUGGGUAAAGAAGCACCGGCUAACUACGUG
rnacentral:rRNA from 1 species